rnacentral:rRNA from 1 species
AGCGAACGCUGGCGGCAUGCUUAACACAUGCAAGUCGCACGGAUCUUUCGGGAUCAGUGGCGGACGGGUGAGUAACGCGUAGGGAUCUAUCCAUGGGUGGGGGACAACUCCGGGAAACUGGAGCUAAUACCGCAUGAUACCUGAGGGUCAAAGGCGCAAGUCGCCUGUGGAGGAACCUGCGUUCGAUUAGCUAGUUGGUGGGGUAAAGGCCUACCAAGGCGAUGAUCGAUAGCUGGUUUGAGAGGAUGAUCAGCCACACUGGGACUGAGACACGGCCCAGAAUCCUACGGGAGGCAGCAGUGGGGAAUAUUGGACAAGGGGCGAAAGCCUGAUCCAGCAAUGCCGCGUGUGUGAAGAAGGUCUUCGGAUUGUAAAGCACUUUCGACGGGGACGAUGAUGACGGUACCCGUAGAAGAAGCCCCGGCUAACUUCGUG